rnacentral:lncRNA from 1 species
GAAACCGCUUGGACCCUACUUCUCUAUGGCAAUGUUCCAUUCAGGUUCUGGGGGAUAUUAUGCUAAUAUGGCAUGUUACCUUAUAAACCUCAUGCCCUCGUCUGUCCUUAACAACAAUACCCCUCACUUGAUUUUAUGGUAAUCUGUGAUCGGUUCCAUGAGAUAUAGAAAGUGAUGCAGGUCACCUUUGAUUUGGAAGCAUAAUCCGGUCUACAUCCCAGCUCUUUCUCGUAUUGAGUUUCAUGCACUUCAUUAGAUUAAAUCACAUACGUUUGUGAUUCUAGUAGAUGGAAAGUGUUGUCAAUUUUUCAAAUUGUUUAGGUCGAAUGCCAGUAAUUUCCAAUGCAAAUUGUUUUUAAUUCAAGUCAGAUCCCAGUAAUUUCCAAUGUCCUUAGGUCGAAUUCUUGUUGGUUUAGUUACUAGCCAUGAUGGUAACGUCAGAUUCUAUGCAUUUGAAGAUGUUGUUUUUUCUAUUAACAAAUGUUAAUAUGUUAGUUUUAUUAUGGUGUGGGUAGGAAUAGAACCAUCAACCUCAACUCUCUCACUCCAUCCUCAAACCACCAAGCCAAGUUUAUAUCUCUCUAUAUAAUGAUAUGGUUUAGUUUUGUCUUAGCAUUUAGGAGCUUUAAUCUACAUUCUAAUAUACAUAAUUUAUGGAGAUAUAUUAUUAUAUUUCUAUAUUGGCGGAGCUGUAGAGGUAGUAACUGCACAAACUCUCGGUACUUAAANN